rnacentral:piRNA from 1 species
AGCCUGGUCCUUAGAACAGAUGAAGA